rfam:Myotis davidii contig78750, whole genome shotgun sequence.
GGUAGGUUCUCAGGUGACACACAAUGGAAUUGGGCUCCCUCCUCUCUGUUUCCGGGUGCAUCACCCUAGAACCGCA